CUGGUAUGCACGGAGGGAGACGUUUACCAUCCUCAUCGUAAAGAUUGUCUCCACAAGGAGCUGAAGAAAAGAGAGGAAAGUGACAUUAUAGGACAAGAUCUUACUACCCUAAACAGCUUCUCCUGAGGUCUACACCUACACGCCCUACACAUAUCUGUCCUUGCCCAAGCUGCAUCAGGUGUGCAGAGAAACAUGAUUGAUUUGUGAAACUGAAACAUUUCUGGAAAAAUUGGUACAUGUACCCAUGCUAAUAUAAUUGUGGACUCUCAUUGCUUGUGCUACCAGCUGGAGAUGAAAAACCAUGUUACCUAUUUAUCAUAUCUCUUUUUGGCUCCCGCGCAAGGAAUCCCCCAGUGCUGAAGGGAAUAAAACAUCAGAUUUAAUGAACAAUGGUGAGAAGAACAUCGGAGAGAAUAUGGGAAAGAAGAAAGCACAAUUAGGAGAACAGACUGCUAUUAUAUUGUACAGGACAUGAAAAACAACUGGUGAACACUUAAAUAUUGUUAUCUUGAAAGCUAUAGAUAUAUAAGCAAGUAUUCCUUGGCAGCUGAGAUGAACAUUAUGUAGAAAAGCUGGAAGCAUGAGCCAAUACCAAGCAUAAUCUCAGGAGAAGGGCAGCUUUGUGGAGAAUGUGGAGAAUAUGAAACUAAGAGAAACACUGCAAGGAACUUAGUGAGUGCCUCACACAGAUGUCCAUGCUCCAAUCCUAUCUCAGUUAUCUUAGGACUCCUUCCUGAAAGGGGUCAGAAAUGGCUUUAUAGAUAAAUCCUCAGAAUCACUGGGCAUAUUCUUUCAUGCAUUUUUUGACUCAGCCAAAAUCUCCUAGCGACACUAAUUAGUGCAGGCUUUAUGCAUGAAGAGGUAGGCUCCUAAUGGUAAGUCUACAGAUAAUACAUUGGCAUCGUAUCUUAAGAAGUGAUUUGACUUACUGUUUGAAAAUUUUCAAAACAAUUUUAGUGUCCAUAUUUCCAAAGCAGAAGAAAUAAAAGAUAGCAAACAUCAUUAAGCUUCUUCACAACUAAAAUGUUCUUUAUAUUUCAAAAUACUUGCUUGUUGCCUUUUUAUUUAUAUGGGAAUUAAAAGAGUGUUGAGCAAUGGAUCUGCACAUCUCAGAGAAUCAGAUUACAUCCAGAGGAGAUGAUUACAUAGAUUUCUGGAGGAUGCAUACACUUUUCUUGACUGGGGCACCAGGCAUGACUCUAAUCUGAUAGAAGUUAUUUCCUAAAUUUCAAUCACUUAAUUGCUCAAGAAAAAUGUAAAAAUAAUGCCUGGUUGGAACUUUCAUCACUGUGGAGCUGCCCAUAUGAAAUGAGGACCAGCAUAAAGCCUGAUGUACCAAUUUUGGGAAGUUUCUUUGUACUGUGAUGAGAAUCAUAGCGUGAAGUUUAGCACCAGCUGAUGCCUUAUGCAGUAUCGUCAUGUUAAGUAACAAGCUGUUGUGGUUUAACCCAGCAGGUGGCUGAGCACCACAAAGUCAAUUGCUCACUCCUCCCCCUUCCCAGUGAGAUGUGGGAGAAUAUCAGGAAAAAAAAAAGCAGAACAUGUGGUUGAGAUAAAACUAUUUACUAAGAUAGAGACAAGGAAAAGGAUGAUAGUUAGGACUAUCCAUAGACAUAUGAAUGUACAUAACAGGUAAUGGACAAGCAAUUGCUUACCACCCCCUGACCAAUGUCCAGCUGGCCCCCCGAGCAGCAGAAGAGAAAAAGAUCAACUGCCACCCCCUUCAAAAUCCUGUAUGACGCCAGAUGGUAUGGAAUGUCCCUUUGGACAAUUUAAUCCAGCUGUACUAAUUCUGUUCCCUCCCAGCUCCUUGGGCCUUUGCUGAGAAUGGCCUUGGCUCUGUACCACACUGCUCAGCAGCAACUAUAAACAUCAGUGUGUUAUCAAUGUUGUUUUCCUCCUAGAACCAAACACAUAGCAUCAUACCAGACACUCCAAAAAAACUAUUCCAUCCUAGCUGAAAUUAGGAUACAAGCAAAUACUGCACAGAAAAUACUGUUUUUUCUUCCCUCCAUAUAUCUUUGGUUAAUAUAGCAGGAUUUACAGUUUUUCACUGAACAAUUAAACAAUUACUUCUAUCAAACAGAACUAUACUCCCCAGUGAAAAGAGUAUGUGCUGUAAGGAAUACUGUUUACUGUUUAUUUAAAAUUCUAAGGAGGAAGUUACAGAUCAGUUUAUUGUGUACUGUAUUAAGCUUGGGAAGAAAUUAGAUAAUGAUUUGCCUCUAAGCUGACCAGAGGCAGAAAAUGUGCACUCUGCAGAAGGAAAAUACACUUAGUAUUGAGGGAGGGAGUAUGAAACAUAAUUUUCCUAAGAAAUUAAAAAACUUUCUUUUCUCAGCUUCAGGGUUAAAAUAUUCUCUUUACCAAUGCCUGUGUUACAGCCAUCACUUCCCUAGUGAUAGAAUUAGGCAACCCAAAGAAUCAUGGUCUGAGGAGAAAGAUGUGCUAAUUUUCUUGCUUCUAUCUAUAGAAAUAAGCAACUUAAGCAAAAAAAUAUAAAAAUGUCAGCUAUAUCUGUUCCAGUUGUAAUUUGAAAACCAUAUAAAAAUGUAUUAAACUGUUUGUGUGCUAUUAAAAAGCAGUUGCUUAAGACAAAAGAAUGAAAUGGAAUUCUAUCAAAACUCACAGGAAAGAUCAUAUUUACAAAAAUUCACCAGGACAAUUAGUCAGAAGAAACCACUCAAAAACUGCACAGGUACAGUGAACACAAUUUCAAGACUUCUUUCUCAACAGACAUGAAUGCUGAAGAUUUUCUUUUCCUGAGCACACUUUUUUCUGCAGCUAAGUUAUGGUAGACAGGCAUUAAUCAUAUUGAGUGGUGCAUAGAACAGGCCUGUUGUAAAUCAGGAUCAUGCACAACUGGGAUCAUCAAGAACUUGGUGUCUUGUAGAAAAAGACUCUUUAUCUUCUUACACAGGAGAAGAAUAUGAAGCUGGUUUUAGAGGCUUUCCAGAAGACAAAAUCUCUGUUUCUAGGAGUC